UCUCUCUCUCCAUCUCUCUUUGUUCUUUCCUCCCUUCUCUCUGUCUCUGUUUGUCUCUUGCUCUUUUUGUCUCUAUCACCACUCUUCCUUUAUACCCUCAUUCUCACCUCACCACCACCCCCAAUCUCCCUCCAGCCCCACUGCCCCCCGUCCCUGCACCUUGUACCUUGGUGGGUCCAGGACUGCCCACCCCUCCCAUGGCAGGGGCCCAGCCCCGCCACCCCCAGUUAUCACUCUCCAGACAGAGAUAAAGUUUAUCUCGAGGCUGGGGGAUAUGAAAGCUCCUUAUCAGCUGCCCCACUAGAGUAAGUGCUGCCCCAACGGGCAGCAGGCAGCAGGCCGGCACCCUCAACUCUCCUUCCGCCCAGCCCCUCACCCCAGAAUGGCAGCUCCACAAACAUAGAUGUGCUUAUCUCUUCUGUUCAACACUGUGUCUCCAAUGCCUGGAACAGGGCCAAGCAUGCAGUAGGUGCUCAAUGAGCUGAGCCUCAGUUGAGAUGAGUCUGAAUGUACCAGAUCCAAAGGUAGAAAGUGCCACAUUCCCCAGGGAUGAGACCAGCUAAGGCGCUCCAGGACGAGUGGCUGAGAAUCCGCCUGCCAAUGCAGGGGACAUGGGUUCGAUCUCUG